rnacentral:rRNA from 1 species
GAUGAACGCUGGCGGCGUGCCUAAUACAUGCAAGUCGAGCGAACGGACGAGAAGCUUGCUUCUCGGAUGUUAGCGGCGGACGGGUGAGUAACACGUGGAUAACCUACCUAUAAGACUGGGAUCACUUCGGGAAACCGGCGCUAAUACCGGAUGAUAUUUUGAACCGAGUGGGUCAAAAGUGAAAGUCGGUCUUGCUGUCACUUCUAGAUGGAUACGGGCUGCAUUAGCUAGUUGGUAAGGUAACGGCUUACCAAGGCAACGAUGCAUAGACGAGCUGAGGGGGUGAUAGGCCACACUGGAAGGGAGACAGCGCAACUACUCCUGAGGGAGGGAGCAGUCGGGAAUCUUACGCAAUGGGGGAGAGCCUGACGGAGCAAAGCGGAGUGAGUGAUGACGGUGUGCGGAUCGGAAAACGCUGAUUUUAGGGGAGAACCGAUGUGGAAGUAACUGUGAAGAUCUUGACGGUACCUAAUCAGAAAGCCACGGCUAACUACGUG